AUUGAACGCUGGCGGCAUGCCUUACACAUGCAAGUCGAACGGCAGCGGGGGAGAAGCUUGCUUUUCCUGCCGGCGAGUGGCGAACGGGUGAGUAAUACAUCGGAACGUGCCCUGUAGUGGGGGAUAACUAGUCGAAAGAUUAGCUAAUACCGCAUACGACCUGAGGGUGAAAGUGGGGGACCGCAAGGCCUCAUGCUAUAGGAGCGGCCGAUGUCUGAUUAGCUAGUUGGUGGGGUAAAGGCCUACCAAGGCGACGGUCAGUAGCUGGUCUGAGAGGACGAUCAGCCACACUGUGACUGAGACACGGCCCAGACUCCUACGGGAGGCAGCAGUGGGGAAUUUUGGACAAUGGGCGAAAGCCUGAUCCAGCAAUGCCGCGUGUGUGAAGAAGGCCUUCGGGUUGUAAAGCACUUUUGUCCGGAAAGAAAUGGCUCUGGUUAAUACCUGGGGUCGAUGACGGUACCGGAAGAAUAAGGACCGGCUAACUACGUGCCAGCAGCCGCAGUAA
rnacentral:rRNA from 1 species